CGCUGGUUAGCUAGCUUCAACAUAUCCGCGUUGGUACUUGGCAGAGACGCAGCAGGAGUAAGAGACUGGCUUCAAUUUCAAGAAACUGCGCGAACACACAGCGUACCCGGGUGUCGCGGCAGACAGACAGUGCUCAGGGUGAGAGCUGAGCCUGCACUGAAGUGUCCCAAUGAGUCUACUGAAGUGGACUUAUCUCCUACCACACCGUCUCACAUCUCACUCUCUCCUGGAUCCAGACAGGGCUGAGCGCCACACUCAUCCUGCCCUCCUCACACCAGAGAGGCCUCUCUCCUCUGGGCUCAGUCCCACACUCAGCCCCCAACUCAACCACACCACCCUCCUUACAGUUGGCAGAGUGCUGCAUGAAGCUCACGCUGCUCCUGUCCCUAGGCUGUGGAUUCCACUGGGAAGGUGAGAAAGAGGGGGAGGAUGGACGGUGGCACGAAGGUUGAGGGAGACAAUGGAAGAGGGAGAAGUGGACAGAGGUGAAUGAUUGAGGUGUUGAUGUCGAGUUCGCCUUUUCACCCGUCUACCAGCCGAUCGGGGGCAACAUCAUAACUGAUUAGGUGCAUCAUGUAAAGCUCUGCUGACAGAGAUGGACUGCCUUGAACAAACACUGCGGCACUGGGACUCCAAAAGACUCUAAAACAUUUGGAUAGCCUUCGCAGAAGAUGUCGCAGUCUCUACAACCCUGCGGUCCAAAUGGUGGAACGAAAAGGCGAGUACACCGAGAGAAAUGUUGUGCUUGCGCAGAGGCAAAGAAAUUCUCCCAUACCCAAAAGCGCUGCUACGUUAUGUCACACUUGGCCACUUAUUAGAUCGUAUAGCUCCUGCGAAGGGAAGCUUAGAUGUUUUUGGUGAUAACAAUAUGAUUGACUGUUCACCAAGUUGCAGGAUGAUGCGGUCAUGCUGCACAAAUUGGGAGCAUGCACACUCAUGACCGCAUGCUCAUAGGCUCACACUCAGUCUAUGAGUUCAAAGCAGGAGAUGCAGAUGACAUCAAAGUGAUAUCCAGGACAGCUUGGCCUCCUUCAUGACAAAUGCCAGACAUCGCUUCGUCAAAAACAUGCCACAAAAGAUGGGAUACACUUAAAGCCAUCUACUUUCACUCUCAUAUUUCCAUUUCCAAUGAAAAUAUAAAAAUUUGUACAGCGUGAACAUUUUUCAAAAAUGAAUCCAAGUUGAGAUUUACCUUAAUGGAUGGUGCUCAUUUUUACAGCAAAGUGACUCCCUGCUGCCUCUGAGAGGAACUGAGCUUGUGCUGAGUAGUUUCCCGUUUUAGUAGGGAACUGUCUGCGUGACGUACACUGCGGGUCAUGGGCAGCUGGUCACAUGGUGGCUAGCUGAGGUAGCACAGUGAACGGUGAAUCAGUGGACUGAACCAUGAGAUAGUGAAUCCUUUUUGAGUCAUUGAGCUGAAUGAGUGUAAAGAAAUUAUUAUGAUUAUUUAAUGCAGAGUGUUGCAUAUGUUUACUUCUCCCAGGUGUGAUCAAAAAGCUGAUCUGCAAAAGAUUAACCAUUUAUAUUACAGGAGAUGUGAGGUGACGAUGGCGUGUGUGAACAAAUGUGUUUAUGAGUGGGGUUUUUUUGCAAAUAAAAUCAAAAUGGGAGUUAUUUCAGGCAGUCAGGCCGUCUGCUUGUUACUGUCACAUCCUGUCAGCAAAAUAUUUCCAUAAUGCCAUACAGUCAUAAUCUGUCACCUUGAGAUCAUGAUUUAUAACUCAGAUAUUGGGAUUUUGUGUAAGAAAAUUGGACCGUUUUAAUGUUUCCCAUGCCUUUUCUGGACAUUAUCGUCUUUUCAGAUUCAAAGUCAAAGAAAGUGAAAGGCAAAGUAAAUUCUCAGCAAAUUAUUUUAGUUUAGGAACAUUAAAGCUGCACUUGUUAUUUCAACAGUGGAUGAAAUUAUCAUGCUUAAUUUGAGCUUAACACUCUGCGGUUCCUUCCAACGCUACACAGCGUUGCAGCAUUUUUCAGAUACGAUUUUGGUUUUAUGGCCCGCAAUGUAGUCCCACUGUCUGUUUACAACAACUGCAGUCAGCAAAAAAAACAAAAAAAACCUCUCACAGUCUUACUGAACACCUGCCCACCACAAAACACAGACAAAGUUCGCAACUAUGUGUGGAACACAGUGAAGAAUUUAGCCGCUAUACAGAGCCAGAUAUUCCCCUCAGAGUCAGAGUCAAAACAGAGUGAAUGUUGGACAUGCAGUCACCACACAAAUCAUGCACAUUUUAUUCAUGGCUAGUGGAUGUGCAACAACUUAAUAAGCUGGAUUUGUAAAUUAAAGCUUGUUGUGCAGCCUCAAGUGUUCAAAAUGUUAGUUGAUCCAGAAAGUAAAAGCAAAGAAGCGUCUCGUUGUCCGGAAGCAAGGUCCCGAUUAGGUCUUAAGCCUCUUUGGUGUUUGUUUAGUCAGCUAAACCUCCCCACACUUUCACAUUUCUCUCCCUUAAGGUAGUAAAAUUAAGAACAGUUUUUGUUCCUGGUCCUGUUUUUUUAAAUUUUUUAUUAUUGAAUAUAUCUAUUAACUUCGUAAAUACCACACUUUGCCUUUAAACCAGCACCACUUCUCAUGUUUCUAAAGGUAUUUGGCAGAACGCUGUCAGUGAAACGCUGUCAUGCGUUGCGGUUCUGUUGCUUCACUUUGCUUUCGCUGCGUUCGGUAGAAAGUUGAGAAAGUCCACCUGUUCGAGCGGUAGCGCAGGGCAGGCGCUAGCCAAUCAAACCAUGUUAAUGCAAUUACAGAUCCUGUCUGACGUCAAACGUCAAAGUGAGCCAGGAGGCAACGGGUCAACCUGUUACAUGUUCACCUGGUUGUGAAGUUUUAUCUCCCAUGUACUUCCCUUUGGCAUCGCAUGGACAGCUAAUGCCACGUUAGUACAAAAGCCGGCUAUGUUGUUUGUCCCAGAGCAGGAAUUGUGAUUGGUUGUUGUCGUUUUGACAAUCGUCUCUUUAUAUGAUCCCCGACUGACCGGAUGAUGUUGAGAUCUUGGCUCUGUGGUUGGGGCCACACCAUCUUCUGCGGGACUCCUCGUUCUUCUUGUCGUUAAAGAUCAUGCUUCCUUGGGAUCGUUGUCCUGCAACAGAAUUAAUUGGAUUGAUCAGACGCCUUCCUGAUGGUAUUGCAUGAUGGUUAAGAAUCUGAAACUUUAUCUUAAACCAACCUCAGUGGCCGAAUGUAAAUAUUAUGAAAGUGACAUAUAUGUCAAUUUGAAUAUUUAGAGAGAAGCAAAACACAAUCAGUAAUGGUCAUUGACGAUUGAUUGUUAAGCCAAAUGUUUAAUCAAAAUAAUUGUCUGAAAAAAUAUGCACAUUUUAAAGGUUUGUUGUGAAUAUAUAUAGAGUGAUCACACUUUCCCAUGAAUUUAUAUUUCUACAAAUUGGCUAGAGAAAAUAACAAAAGCAUUUCCUUAAUGACUCUCCCUGUGGCUGAUUUGUAUAUUUUCAGGUCCAUUAAACCCUCAGUCUAGACCAUAUUGUGAUGGUUAUAUGAGUCCUGUCUGACCUGUGGUGGGAGGCGGCGUAGACUCUGUUUUGAGGCUGCAGAAACCCUGCUGUGGAUGUUUUGUGAGCAUUCACACCAUGUGACUGACGUUCAGCCCUGCAGUGAAAGCUUCAUGGGAUACCUGGUGUUUUAGGCUGAAUUCUUGAGCGUGGGCCAUUAUGGCCCUUUGGCAACAGGCUGUGUGGUGAGGGUUCUAAGUUGCAGGAGAGGUCCCUCCACUCUCUGAGUGAUGAGAGCAGGGUUUAACCGGCUGCAGGUGCGCCCGAGACAGGCGGGUCGGGCCUUUGAAGUGGAAGCCAACUGGGACCCUGGCCCAUCUCUGACCAGCAGCCAGCACAGACACAUUCGCUUUCAAUUAACACUCUCCCUUCUCUCUAGAUCGCUGCUCUUAUGCUCUGCGUUCUCUUUUUCAAUACUCAUCUAUGCGUUCAGAUGAAGAGAACCAUUCAGCCUGAGAAGUGUGGUGCAAUAAUUUCAGUAUGGUAUUAGUCCUUUGAAAGUGAAAAACUUGCAAACUCGUCGAUGUGCCUGAAAUCACGACUAUUCUUCAGAAUGAUUUUUUUUACCAUCUUACUGCAUUUGGGUGUGGGCUCAUUUCUUCACCUCUCGCUUACACUUCAUGAAACUUCUCAUGUCACAGGGCCAAUGUUAAGCAUCCAGAGAACUCUGAGUCCUCAAAUCUAUUGUUUUCUCAUUUAUCUUUAUGUGAUGAAAUCAUGGAUCUCCUCACUCCCAUGCUCUGUCAUGUGAACAGAACACUUCCUGCUAUUUGCCGCUGCUGAACAAGAUUGCAAAAAAAUCAUAUUAGAGAGAAAUAAAUGCAAAAUGCUCCAGUUGAUUAUUGGCUUUUUUUCAUCAAAACGUAUAUGCCCAAAUAUGAGUAUGUAUGUAAGCACGCAUGCACACAUCUCAUUAAAGAGAGUGAAACAGAGAAAUAAAUGGCUGUUUCGAUGGUAAGCUCCCUGGAGGCAGCUACAUCUGGCUCCUGUUAGCCACAAGCGUAUAAAAAUCAAAUGUGGUUUACUCUCAGGCAUUCUGCACUAGAGGCGCACACACACAUACACACACACACACACACACACACUCUGGGAGGUAGGACUCCAGCAUGGUGGUCACCCCCACCAGUCGCAGUCUCCCCAGUACCCAACUCCAGUGAACUCAGCAGACAUCAAGGGGCUCAGACAGGGUCUAGUAUUCAAGGCACAAACAGUAGCAGCCACUCAUAUAGUCUCUUUAUAAAAUAUUAAACCCGUAAAAACCCUGGGGAUACUUGUCUGUCGAGCCUCUGACAAUAUGUCUGAGCGAGAGUGGGGCGUGUCAGUAAUAAGUUUUAGUUCGGAAAAAAAAAUUACUUUUAACUCAUAGAUGCCGUAACAUACCCAAAUGAGACACAAUAUAAGGAGAAAUGAUAAUUCAAAAAUAUGCUGUAUUCAAUUUUAAAGAUAGUCCUGUAAGAGGACUAUGUCAUUUAGACAUAUAUUAUCUUGUAUGGUGAUCAAAUCACCAAGUAUCACAGUCAAACUUUCUCCUGGGUUCGGUCUACCGUAUGUAUCAGUAUUGUGUGAAAGCCAAGUUCAUUCUGAGCUGGGUUGUCCACUUAUCAUAAGGUCAGGGGUUUGAUUCCCGCUUAAUCCACUCCACAAUCCAAAGUGUCCUUGGGUAAGACUCUUAACCCCAAAGUGCCGCUGAUGGCUGUGCGGGCAGCGUGUGAAUGAGUUGCGUGAUUAACAGACAAAUGAAGUCAAAGUGUACGACAAUGAUGAAUUAAUCACUCACUUUGACUAAUCUAACAGAAGAAAAUUACAUAUUACAUCUAAGGGAAUGUAUUCUGUAAACUAAAUUGAAAAACGUUUUUAAAUUAACACUUUAUUUCUUAUUACAGUAUAUACUUUCCUUAGUGACCUACUUUAUUCCACAGUGUAGAUUGAGCCAUAAGUCAAAGACUCAAAAUCAAACGAGGGGGAAAGCAUGCUACUGUACCAAACACGCAUGAUAAGAUGAGUUCAUCAACAGGAUAUUAGAGACACCAACGCAAUAGCGCGUGAACUCAGACCAGGCUACUGCUACAUUCCAGACCUCAAAACAAUUCCCAGUACACUCGGUGACACAGGGCUGUGCAAUGCUUCACUAAAACCCUGACUCACUGAUCGAACAGUUAUCGCCACCGUAGCUGGUGAUGGAGAAAUCGCUGACACGCCUCACACUCUGUGGUGAGUGCAGAAGUUGACGACAUAAUUAGGAAAAAAACUUUCAAAAGCAAAAUGCAAGAAAUCAGGUUGAUUGUGAUUAAGGCUAUGACGUCCACAACAGUUUAAUGUUGUUUCUACAAUUUUCCGGUGCUCUGGCUGCGUCUAAAUGUCACUGAGGUCAAAGCCAGCUCAUCCUGUGCGUUCCUCCAAGCCCAGCAGGCAUGUCUGAAAGACUAUGUGACCCUGUGAGUCUUUCAAUUUCCUACCAUGGUAAAUCCUGGACCCAAAGAAAAAGCGAUCUUGAUUUCAGCUUGGGUGGGAUGGAAAGUACUUCAAUAAGUUUUGUAUUAUUGAUAUUAGCCCGUAAUGUCAGCAAUAUCACCGGUAUUCAAAACAUAGUGGUUCCAUGAUUCAACAAGAUAAAGAUCGUACAGAUGAUUGUAUGUGUUCUGUCUUUGGAAAAGUUUGAGUGCUGGCAUUAUCUGAAGCCUUUCCUGCACACACUGCCCUCGGUGAACUAGUGACACCAGUUAACCAGCUCCAUACAUAAGCCUUUGUGUCGGCCAGGCUGAAAAAAAAGAGACUGUCGGCAUCAGAAUGAAAACGUUUUCUUGGUGAAGAACACAGGUUUUCACGCCAUAUUUUAACAAUAUUUGUGUCGUGGCCAACUAAAGCAGUCCAGUAAAAGCUGGCACAUCUUUGGCAGCUGGCUGGCACUUGUCCUGGGCUGUCAAGAGUGAAAUGUUGCCCUUAUGUCAGCUCUCAGUAAACGCCACUAUCUCUGACUGUGAUGUAUGGGCGCUCUCGUCAUCUUUGGAGAUCUAACACACAGCGAGAUACACCAGGGCUUAGAUCAGCCUCUGGACUGCUUCAAGGGCCUGCAAGCAUCUCCCGGCCUGUUGUUGCCAGGUUUCAGUGGAUGGUGAGGAUGAAAGAGCUCAAGGGCAAUGUACCGCUGGCAGAAGGGGAAGCACUCAGAUCCUGUAACUUAAGAAAAUUGGUCCGUGUGAUUGAUACAUGAUCUUUUAUGACAUGAUUAGAUUGUUACGGAUGCAUCAAUGUCUAAGAAACAUUUUUACACUGCAACUUGUCAAGAAAUACUUUGUGGGGGCUGUAAAGUGUUGUGGUUCCCCUUCCAAGGGUGUCAUCUGGUACACAAGUUCUCGCUAAUCUUUGUUUUUUGGGGAAAUAUUGGAAGAAAAAAGGAUCAGAGUCACUAGUUUAAUGUAUAACAAUGCAGUGUCUUUUAUAAGCUUGUCAUUUGACAAAUUUCAAUCGUAACUAAAAACUAAAGCUGGUAAAUAAACAUGAAAUAUAUCUGAAAAUAUUGUGAAGUUGAAGUGUGAAGUAGCAUGAAAUGGAAAUACUCAAGUAUCUCAGCCCGCCCUCCCCUUAGAGUCCCUUAAUGUGGGGCUGACUGGCCCAACAAACCUCCAUCCUCACACACAAAUGUUGCAAUGCCUGGACGUCUCACCGUGUUCGUCUAAACCGAGUCCAAGAUCCUCCGUGAUGGUUUUCUGUCUGAACACUGAACACUCUCACUCGGACAUCACCUUAACCCCCACUGUUUUCCCAAAUCACAUAUGGCCAUGAUUAUUAUUGAGUGAAAUUGAAAAAAAUAUAUAUAUAGAAGUUAUUGAAAACUUCAGUUAUUAUUUCUUUUAAUAAUUGGUUCAUUGUCUUAUCAGUGAAAUAUCAUAGAACAGUGUAUCUAGUGUUUAUGCUAAGCUAAGCUAACUCUCCUGGCUCCAGUUUCAUAUCUAAUGGACAUAUAUCAGAGUGGUAUCAGUCUUCUCAUCUGGUUUUCGAAAAGAAAGUGUGUUCUUUCUCAAAAUCGUCAAAGUAUUUUUUCAAUUACAAAGUGAUUUGAGUAGCAUCAUAACUCUAAUUUCCAGUGAACAACUUGAAAUGAGUUUGGAUUUUCAUAUUAUGCCAUCUUCAUCUAGGUAGGUCGAGCAUGAGAGGAGGACAGAGCCAGAUUACAUCUGAGUUUACAUGGCGUUGCAUGGGCGGCAAAUUAAAGGUCUUGCAAAAUCCCGCAGACUGCCUUAUCAGCCUGCUCUCUGUGGAUUUGAAACAGACGCUCGCUUCCAUGUUCGCUGUGUAUGUGUACAUUUGUGCCCCGUAGCAGACUGUUAACAGGGGGAAACACAUGUCCACAUUAAGCAGUUUCACUGAUCAAGCUGAUAUGACUGGAGAUGAAAGAACGAAGCGGGAACUCGUCCCCCCCAAGUGCGGCUGCUGCGAGCUGUCAGCAACAAUACUCACUGAGCGUACUCAUGUUUUCAUUAAAAGUGUAUGUGAAUUUAACACUCUUUACAAGGCAGAAUGAAAUACAACUUUGAGAUGAUCAGAGUAGGUAUCAUUGAUUUGGACGUGGGUUUUUCAGGCAUAUGAUAUUCAUUUUUUUGUGGCAGAAACACAAGGGCCUUCACAGGGCUUUGUAAAAGUCUCCAGAAUGAGAACAAUGAACAGGAAAGAAAGGGAAAGGAGAACCGAGGAGUGACUGAUUGCAGGGCAUCAGACCAAAUGGGAACCAGAGACUGCGAGAUGUCAGAGCUGCUAUGGAUUUAUACUUUACCUGCUCCCCUGAGAUCUGCCACACAUACACCGCCCUGAGCAGAACAAAAGUGGGGGAGAGAGAGAGAUGUGAAAAAGUAUGGGCACGGGGUCAUGGGUCAGACAGUGCGAGAGGAUUAGCAUAAGAGGCCUACAAAGAUGAGUGAGACAUGGAGGGCCAGAGAGUGAGAGGGGCCGGGUCUGAGGAGAAAACAGCAACAUCAGCUCAGCUGGGUCUUAUUUAGAUAAAACUUUUGUUCUAUGAAAGGAGCCCUGUACACCCGCCUGUACAUCUGUCCACCGCAUGUUGGACUGCAAUGGGUGGGCUGCCCUUUUCUGCCUUUGCCCUCUCCCCGCUGCCCUGUAUCUCUCCCUUGGGCAAACAACCGUUCAAACCACCCUGUAUAUGCUGAAGAAGAAAGGGUACCCCCAGGGAACAUACUGAUACUCCUCAUUCAGUAUUGAAUGAUUUCCUUCAGAAUUUCAAACUGCAAAAAAAAAAAAGGAUCCCCCGUGAAAGUGAUACUGAAUAGGUUGUUUCAGUUGAUUUGCCCACUUGGCCGAUUCAGAACAAGAUCUUCUCAAGAAACUACAGUAUAAGUCUGAACAAUAGGGAGACACAAGACCUCCUUCAUUAACCACCAGAGGGCACUACUUCCCCAACAGUUGCACACUGACAACACCAGUCUCGAAAAUGUGGAAAAAUCAUCAGAGAAAUAUAUAUCACCACAUCAUUUACAAGGCAGUUUUUCUUCCCACUUAAAAAAGACACAUCUGAGCCCUGUACUACCGUCAUAGAUGUCUCUAAAAAAUAAUGCACAGACAUAAGUGUGUUAGAGGAAACAAACAUCCACUGCAUUGUCCACCAAGUAGCAACCCACCAUGACCAUGAUGUCACUCGUUGGUUUGUGAACUGUCGUUUUGGAGCCUCGAGUUUAGCAUUUUUGCCAGCGCCAUCUUGUUUUUUUGAGACCAGAAGUGAGGCUUGAAACUGGUGUUUGAGACCACAAACUCCUCAGGAAAAUGUUUACUGACAUUAUAAAUCAAGUGAGAUGUAUGGUCUUCAUUUCUUCAUAGAGAAAACUGACUUAUUUUUGUGGAGUCGCCCUCUGCUGCUCAUCGGAGAGAAUGCAGAUUUCAGUCACUUCCGCAAUUGGCUUCACUUUCUGGACCUGGUGACUAGGUCCAUUUCUAUAUACAGUCUAUGAUUGCCACCACAUCAUAAAACGGACGAGUUUGCCUUUCACAUGUGCCGAACGCAGCAGGAGAUAGUCAGACGCGGUCACACCCACAGGAACAUUUUCGAAAUGUGUGUUUUAGUUAACGGUCACUCACUCGCUGCAAAUCUUCUGGAGAUUUUCCUGCUGAAUUCUCCGGAGCAACACUUGCGGACAUUUGUGUUCGCACAUACUGCCCUUCCAAAACAUUUCAGGAAAAUGUCAGGACUUCAGUGCAUGUCUGAUAGCAGCUUCAGAUAGACUGGCCUUGUACAGUAGUAGGGAUGCUCGAUUGACACCUUCCUAUACAGAUUCACUUCUCAUCAACAAGGGGGACAGGUGGAGGUCAUAGGAAGUGGUACAAUGACAACAUCAAGAUCAUACUCAAAAAGUUCCACAUAGAGUAGAAAAAAGGACAGGCAAGGCUCAAAACAGAACAAGAGCUUUAUGAAGUGGAAAUCUGACAAGCUGACUCUCCACCUAGAAAUCCCAUUUAGCUCAAACCACAAGCAGCACAGAGUAUUUAUCAUGCCAGCAUCCUUCCUAUCAGUGCUGUAUAUGUGUCUGGUUCGCUGCCGUAUGUCCAAGACAUUCCAGUGUUUCCUCUAGCCAUUGGCCAGUGGGGAACUUACCACCACCCUCCGAGUAGAAGACAAAUACAGCCUCUGUCUGAUUGACUGGGUUUGUCCCACCGCAGACAGCUUGUUGAGAGCACGGCAUGAAACCACCAAGUGUAACUGACAGACACACAUGACAGGACAUGCCUCGGUCCACCAGCUAACAGACCGUGGAGCUGCGAACUGUUACUUUGACUGAAGGCUGGUCUGAAUUAGGGCCCCUCGCCCCCGCCGCAGACCUCAGACCUCGAUCCAAACCUAAUUCAUGUAUAAAUCACAGCUGGCCAGGUGAUUUCUAAAUCCUGACAUGUGUUUCUUUUCAAUGGCCAACUUAGCCUAUCUCUCACUCUUUCUCUGUAACUCGGCCUCGCCUGCUCUCCCUCAGCCCACAAUGAAUUAACUCACUUUGUAAGGAAGAGAUGCAAAGGGGCGUGCGCCAGCAGUGCAUAUUUAACACUAAGUUAACACACCAGGGGAAAUAUCACACAACUGGCGAAAAAGUAGCGCCAAGCAUGACACAAGUGUCUUUAGUAGUUUCGGACCAACGCAGUUGUGAUUCACCUGUCCGGCGCCCAUGUUUAAAAAGCAGAUAUGCUUCUGAGAGCCUAUGGGCGUGUUUAUGUUGAAACGAUGUGCAGGAUAUUAAUAUGUGCCAACAUACAGGUGCACGACAUGCAUAUUACAUACACGGAUGAUCUGCACAUGGGAAAUGGUUUCCUCUGAAGGAAAGUGUUCUCUUUUAUUACCUGACAAAUUCAUCCAAAAAGCAAUCCACCAGGGCGCGACUGCAAGCAAGCAUACUUGGCUUUCAAAGGGAACAUGAGAUGGCACUGUUUUAUGGCGUGUUACAUCCAAAACACACCCAUGAAUUAAUUAAAAGAGUAAGUACAACCCUUUUGAACCAUGCGCCUGGAGCAGCAACUAUUUUUUUCCCAUGGUUAAACUCGCAGAAUUGGAUUUGGACACGUGCUAAAUGCACUUACUCCAUUCACUUUAGUCCAUGUGCUCAGAUCGUUAGAGUAGUGCCCCCGGGCGUCACAGACAAGGACUCACCUAAACACAGCUGUAAAAUCUUUAUGGAUAUGUCAACCAAGCUUUCACACUAUAUAGGCAUCAUCAAAGAUAGAUAUUGCUUCAGCUGAUUACUCUGUUAACAGCUGAUAGUAUAUCAGCCACAGCACACAGAUGACUUGCUUAAUACCCUCUGAGAAUCCUCGGCAGAUAGCUGACAUGAGUGAGCACGUAAAUUUAUUAUGUACAGGAAAUCGUGGACAUAAUAGCGUGAAAGAAUUGUGACAUGACAUGAGCAGGUGUGUCAGUGUGUGUGUGUGUGUGUGUGUGCGUGUCUGCGUGUGUGUGUGUGUGUGUGUGUGUGUCUGCGUGUGUGUGUGUGUGUGUGUCUGCAGAUAUGUCUGUGGUAUACACUAGCUGAAAGGUCUAACUGGCUUCAUCUAAAAGUCCUUAGAUAGUAUUAAAAGGUCACUGGACUACCAGACAGCAUGUUGGUAUGACUGUUUGAGGAGAAGCAUAUCCAGAUGUGUGCUAGCAUGCAUGCAUGCAGAGGCCUAAUGGCCCACAGUGACUUUCUCCAAUUACACAACACACAAACACACCACAGCAAAAGAACACAUGAGAGCUCUGUCAAAAGAAACUCCUCAGGCCCCCUCACAGGAAGACCCCAUUACAGCGUGUGCGUUGAUAAAAAUGGUCCCCCUAUCUGCCCUGUGGCUCCCCGAUAGCCAUCUCCUCCCCUCAGUGGGUUCCUACUGAAGCUGCGCAGGUCCGACUGUUUAACUGGCCCCCAGAGAAACAACAUAAUAGGAGUUAAGGAGCCUGUCUAUGCUCCAGAUAAAACAAAUGUACCUUUACUUAAUGCCAGAUUUCACCAUAUUGCUCAUGGGCACACACGCACAUAUUGGCAUUCUAUGUUUUAAAUGAGUUCAGUGAUGGCAGAAUAGUGGCAUAAUUUGUGUGUGUCUGUAUGUGUGGGAGCACUCGUGAUUUUGAUACUGAUUUAAUCUGACAUAGGCAGACAUUGAAAAGCCAAAUAAAGGUUGAUUGUUUUUGUAAGAUAAGAUCAGAUAUUAAUAUAUGCAGAAUAAAGGGAGGUACACAUGAAAAUGUGUGAAAAAAAUUGUAGGCCAUCUGUAUCCAUAUCUGAUUUCGGCCAUGAACCAUGGAGAGUGUACGGAAAACUGGGUCCAGAACUUUUUGUCUGCUGUUCACAUAUGAAGCAUAGAGCGUCUGUGUUACAGUUAUACAUUAAUGUGAAAGUAUUGGUAAUAGCGGGUGCGUCACACUGCAAGCAGAAACAAAAAUGUACCAGGAAUAACGAUUAAUGGUUUAAUAACAGUGCAUUUAAUGUGUGAUUAGGCAUGAUAAUAGAGUGUGAUAAAAAUUAGGCCUUUCUGUGUAGAGUUUGCAUGCACCUCCGUUGUCUCUGUGUGGGUUCUCCCACAGUCCAAAGACGUGCAGGUUAGGUUCAUUGGUGAAAUUAAACAUGAAUGAUUGUUUGUCUCCAUGUGUCAGCCCUGCAAUAGACUGGCGGUCUGUCCAGGGUGUAACCCGCCUCUCAGCCAAUGUCAGAUGGGAUUGGCGACCCUCCAAGAAUGAGCGGUAUAGUCAUUGGAUGAGUGGAUAAUUUGCACUGCAGCAGACAGUAAUUAUCCAUUGAUCAUUCUCUCUGUUGAGCAUUUAGUCCGUGAAACAUCAUAAAACAAUGAAAAAAUGUAUUUUUUCUUUCCAGUAAGUUUCACCUUCUUCAGUGUACAAGUGUUCAGUCCACUAGGACCUGGAAGAAGGAUAUCCCGUGGAGAACAGUGAUUGCAGCGGUUGCACGGUUUGAACUGGUUGCAGAAAUGGUUUGGGUCAGUCUGCUGUAAGUGUUCCUGUGUUAAUCACACACACACACUGCUGUCGCUCCAUAGCUUCACCAGCGAUGUGUGAGCAGUUGGACAUUCUGAAACAUCAUUAACAUUCCUUCUAGUCUUAGAGAGAAGGCAUCAAUUGAUCAUUUCACAGUCUUCAGACUCAACAUUUUCAGAUGAGCACGACUUCCAUAUGCCGCCUUUGCGCAUGUAACACUGCAUCUGCCACAUAAGGAUGCAAUACUAUGAUGUCUUGUUACCCUGGGAGUUGAACUGGGAGCCUGUAUUUCCCCUUGCAGUUGGAGCAAUCUCAUCAUGACAUAAUAAUGCAGAUGAAUGGCCCUGACCUGGCAGACUCUGCUCCAUCACUGCUAAUGGACGAGAAAAGUCAUAUUUCACGUCUUGUGCAACUCCACUCGGCAAUCACUCUUGAAUGACAAGGUCGUGCACCAAGACAGCCUUUGUUUUUCUGAUUGAUCAGUAUAAAAGCAUUACUCGUAUGACAGUGAAAGAAACAAUAUGCCAUAUAUAUAUAUUGGUGUCACUUUCGCCCUCCUUAGAUCUGUCUCCCUUCACCCUCUCAUUCCAGUGGCUCUAAUCAGCCUUAGGACCAGUCUUGGGGUCGGCACUUCACAUAGAAAAAUAUAUCAGUACAUCAAACCGCUUUGAACUGACAGCGAUUAUGAAAUUCUCUUGGGCAAACGUACAGCAAUAUUGGUCGAGCAAUUCAGAUGUGUGUGGUUUAAGAGUGCAUUGCUGCUAGGUUUGAGCUUCGUCCUCUAAAAUUUGACGUCCACUUUUUUCAGAUAAAAAGGUAAUUCCCUCCGUUUAGAACCUUCACUCUCGGCUUUCCCAACCAGUAAAUUGUGUUGAUAGCCUCUGCGGUGGGAUUGACAUUCUCGGUUAGUUACACCGUGUGAUGCCGCUGGUGGUCGGUCCGUCCUCAUCUUUGUGGGAAAAGUUUCAACCCAUAUCUAUCUAUCUAUCUAUCUAAUACCGUUUCCUUUGUUCUGAUUUUCCCUCUCAUCUCUUCUUCUAUCUGGCACACUCCUCUUCUUUGUUCACCUGUCAUACUCCACCUUUUCCCAGAAUGACGCAUAUUGAACCCCUCGGAGAGGCGAGCAGAGGUCAUACCAUGCCUCCUAGCAGCGCUAAGACCUGGCCACUGAGGUUGCAGCUGUUCCCUGGACCCAACUACUGGCAGGUUGCAACGCCCUUCUGGCGAACGUAGAGCAGUCCACGAGCCCUGGGAUACGUGCUUCUGAAUUUACCCCCUGGGAUAUUUCACAAAAGGCCAGCUGGGAAGUCGGCGGGAGCCAAGAAGAAGGUGAGGGGGUUGGAGGAGAGGGUAGAUGGAGAAAGCAGAGGAGUAAGCGAUGAUAUGGGUAACACAUGGAGAAGGAUUAAAGAAGUGAAGGUUCUGAUUUGUGUGUGAGAAAGAGGGAGAGGAAGAGUUCCAGAGCAAGAUAGUGGGACAGUGUGGGUAGAAGGAUGGGAUGCAUACAGACCAACUCUUUGUUUCCAUUUGGUCUUAUGAAUCCAUGAUGGCAAUAUUUGAAAUUAUUCUCAAGCAAGGUGGUUGAAAAUUAAAUGGACAUUUCUGGAACAACCUCUGCCUGCGUCUCAUCCUACCUCUCUAACAGCAUUUCAUUUGAGUCAUUCACCUCUUGAACUGCACAGAGACAGUGUGUGACACAAUGUGGUGUAGCUCAAGGAUCAAUCAUCGGACCGCUUCUGUUCUCACUGUGUCUGUUGCCAUUGGGUCUCGUUAUUUUUUACGCAGACGACACACAGUUAAAUCUCUCCGUCGAGUUCUCAGAGUUCGGCAAGCUGGCCGCACUACAGAGCUGCUUCGCUGAUGUAAGAGAUGAGGUUCUCACGAAAAACGCUUCGCAGUAAAACUCUGACAAAACAGAGGUCUUUGUCUUUGACCCUGAGCACCUCCGUAAACAAAUCCAGCCACUGCCUGGCCCCCUUACUACAGAUAUCAAUGUUGUCUUUUUCGCAAUCCGAAAAAAAUUAUUCACACUUUUAUAUCUUCACGCCUGGAUUAUUGUAAUGCUUUGAUCACCUGCCUUAAUGUUCGGGCUGCUGCUCCGAGUCGGACUGUGCAGAACUUUGCCGCCAGGCUCCCAACCAAGGCCAAACGCACUUCUGACAUCUCCCUGGUUUUAGCCUUUUUGUACUGGUUACAGGUAUUCUUUUGAAUUCAUACCAGAACCAUGCUCAUUACUUACAAGGCCAUACUAAACCAGCCGCCUUAGUACAUCUUCCCUCGUUACAGUCCCAAAAGGUUUCUGAGAUCUGUUUCAGGCCUGGUAGUCUGGGUUUAAGUCAAAGGGAUCCUGCUGACUCGCUCUCAUCUUCUGAAUCAUGUCUCAAAACACAUUUUUAUGGAAUUCUUGUCUGAGAGCUCGGCUUACUUGUCUCCAGAAUACAGCUCAGUCUUUUCCUUAUAUUUAUUUUUUUCCAUAUGGAUAAUUUUAAAUAUCUAUUUAAAUGUAUUUUGUCUUUAUUUUUAUUUCUUUGAUACCCUUCACUCAAACAAAUUUGUGUGCCCAUCUUGAUAAGUGCUGUACAAAUAGAAUUGUAUAUUCAUUGUUGUUAUUAUUUUUAUUAUAUUAUUUUUAUGAUUAUUUUUGUUGUUGUUGUUGUCAUUGUUGCUGCUGCUGCUGCUGUUAUUACUACUAAUGAGUGAAUUUAAGAAUUACAACUAUGUAUUAUAUUGAAAAUUACUUAAUAAUUAUGAAUUAACUAUUAAUUUACCUACGACACUUCUAGCAAUUGAUUCUACAGUUAUAUUUUGACCUAUACAGUACAUAUGUAAACAGGUUCUAAAGGGACAAAGAUUCAGGCUUUUUUUGCAACACUAUAUGAAGACACUCAGUUAUUAACAGGAAAGAAAAGCACUCGAAUGAAAAUGGUCAAAAUAUUUUCUCAAAAAAGCAAAUAUUAUAUAUUAUAUUACCCAAAGGCAAUGAGAAAACAAAAAAUAUUAUGCCAAUCUAUUAUAUAUUAAAAACUAAAUAUGUCAAUUGUAGUACAAAAAUAUUAAUUGGCCAGAAAAGGUGUCCCUUCAAUGUGAUCCAACAUAAAUAAAUAAAACUAAAAUAAUUUUUGUCAAAAGAUUUUGUCUCCAAACUACUAUAUAACUAAAUGUUUUGUCCUCUGUUUUGUCAAAUGAAAUAAUUUAGCUCUAUUUAUCUCUGUAUAGUGACCCAGAUAGUUCCAUCCACAAACAAUCAAAUGACUUUUUUUUCUCCAAUUUACUGUACAGCUAUCCCUCAAAAAUCUUUACAAGUGUUUGAAUAUAAACAUAAUUAAUUAUGACAUUGCAUUUGUUUUAGUUUUUGGUUUAUUACAGAAAUUACCAAUGUUCCCUCCACAAGUUAAUUUCUCUAUGAACAAUGAAGCACAGUUGAGGACCAACCUCAUAUUUUAUGACUUUAUGACUUAAUUCCUCCGAAUAAAACAUAUUUCUCCCCUUUUUUAAGUCCAUAUUAAACUGCUGCGUGCAUGUGUGGACUUUACAUUUUUGAAAGAGACUUUCCUUAAAGAAUUAGGAUACACAUGCUGUAAAGCUGCAUGAGUUAACGUACACUUCCAAAACUUUAUAUUGAAAAAUAUUACAUUACCGAGGUGAUAUUGGUACUAUUACACUGCACGUUAUGUGCAAUGAAGUGAGUACUGAACUGUUAUCUCGUAUUGUUGGGAAGAGAGGGACCCCUACUGGAAAAUGAGGAUUUUAGGUGAUCAAACAACUAAACUUUAUGAAAGAAAAAAAAAGGAGGAAGUAGCAUUUUUGUCUCAUAAAGUCCUGCCUGAAAAAUGUUUUUUCUUUUUAAAUUUCUUUAAAAUAUGUAUUUGUCCUUUUGAAAUUAUGCAUUUGUCAUUUUAUCCUCAGUGAGUAAGGUGUAUCACUAGUUCCUUUCUUAUGGAUAUUUAGUUUUGUGAUUCCUUUUUCACAAUUUCUUUUAAUUCAUGCAGUUGAGUGAUGGAGAGCUGCAUGUUAUACAUUCCAAGAUUUCACAUUGUUAGUAGCUGCAACAGUUGUUCUUGGUGAUGUCAGACUGUGUUCCAUAAAAGGUGAAUAAUGAAUAAUGCGAUGAUGUCUGAGAGAGAGUCGAUGCUCACUGAAACAAUUCUAUUUUGUUUGGUUUAUACUCUGUAUUUUUCUAUUAUUUUGUUUCCUUUCUUGACAUCUGACUAACUGUCAUGUAAAAAUUGCUGGUUGUCAUUAUGCCAGAGAAUAGUUAACAAUUUUCUGCUCUCACUCAGUAAAUAAUAGAAGAAAAUGGAGCUUCAGGACCCUUUUCAUGAAUUCUUGGAUACUUGUGAAACCAUCCAUGGGGUUUUCACCUCUGAAAAACUAAUGCUAACACAUGUAUGGUUCUCAAGGUCUAGUGAUGCAAUGUCAUUAGUAAAGCAAGUUUAUUACCUUGUCUCAUCCUCAUCAAAGGUCAAACGGGCCCCAUAUAGAGGACAGAUUGCAUCUAAGACGACCUUCUUCCUCUCUGUUUCUCUCUGUUUCUCUCUCUCUCUCUCUCUCUCUCUCUCUCUCUCUCUCUCUCUCUCUCUCUCUCUCUCACUCUCACACUCUCACACACACGAACACACACACACACACACACACACACACAUUGUCGACUGACUGGUUGGUAUUCCUCUGUUGGACCUAAUGGCUUCCAGUGCUGAGAAGAUAGAGCCCUAACUCAUACUGACAGGACAGAUUAGCACACAGGACUUAAACAUGAGUGGUACAAGUCAAAGGUCAAUACACAGAGAUGUAAACUGCUUGUGUGUGUGUGUGUGUGUGUGUGUGUGUGUGUGUGUGUGUGUGUG